rnacentral:sRNA from 2 species
CUAAUAAUUUUCCUUCCUAUUAAUCUGAUAGACGCACGGUGAUCUUUGCUGUGGGAAACCACAUUUAUGAGUUGUCUCCAACGGAAGUACAGGAGAUGCACGACGGAUCUGCCAACAUCAAAAAGGGUUUAUGGUUAAACUGAGGUAAUAGGCGGACAGACAUACUAUUUUUGGACCGGCUGAAGUAAAUUGGGAAUAAAGGCUCUUUACUCAGGGUAUUGAGCUAACCGGGACCGCUCUGUGCGCUCAGAACGCCUCAAGUAAGCGGGAGUAUCAACUUUUUCGUUCCUUUCGUUGUCACAGAAUGACCAUGUCUUUGAUCAUUUUCCUCUCCUCAAGCUCAAUUGAUGACUGCACGGA